UUUAAGGUAGUUUAUAUUAAAAUAUUAUCUUUGGGUGGUAAAGAACUCUUAGGAGUCUUACUG
rnacentral:tRNA from 1 species